AGCAAGAGAGGGCGGAGGGGGCAAGCAGCCGCUUUAAUAGUCAGGCACACCUGGCUGUUGCCAGGUAACUGUGGGGCGGAGCUUAGACAAAAUGCUAACACCGGCCCGCGUCCUUUUUUUUCUUCCAGAAAUAUCCAAAUUAGUGGCUGGAGAUUCUGUUUCCACUCCUGAUAGUUAGAACUGUGGGAGGAGAAGGGGAUGGCAAGAGGUCUUUCUCAGAAGACAAGGACAUGGGAUUGGCAGGGAAACAGAGGUCACGCUUGCUUGGACAGGACACGUCUAGUUCAUAUGCACAUUACCAGGCGGUGCGAGGCUGAGGGAGUGUCUCCGAAGAUGUAUCAGUCUGUGCCUCUUCAUCCCUGAUGACCCUGCUUUAUUCCUUGUGAUUUCAAACUUCAUGGUGGUCCCAACCUGUUGGAUGAAGGGCGUGGACACCAGACCCAAGAACAGAAGCGCCAGCCGCAAGCUGACCAGUACUGGCUCACAAUGGAGGCUUCCAAAGGAACCUAACCAGUCACCACACACCGCUGGCCUGUGAGUUGCAGCACAGAGAGUGGCUGAGCUGUAAACUCCAGGGUGUGCUGUUAUCCUGAGGAUCAGGUGGUGUUGGCGCAGGCCUCAGGAGUCAGAGGCAGGCUGGUCUCUGAGUCCAACUGUGCAGUGAGUUCCAGGAUAGCCAAGCUACACAGAGAAACUGCCUCAAAAGUAAAAAUAAAAUAAAGAAUACAUUUUUAAAGG
rnacentral:lncRNA from 1 species